GGUGGGGGACACCCGCCCCCGACUGAAUGCCCAUUUUCGGAGGAUAAAGUGUUGGCUGGAGCGACAGCCAGUGCGCAGCCGGAGCCCAGCCUGCUGGGGUGCACGUGCGCGCCUCGAAAUAUCCUCCCCUCUCCCGGCUGGACCACGCUCGAGGAAAGAGACCGGCGCACUGUGGAGCAGCCACUGCGGAAGAUAGGAGUGCAACAGAGCGCUGUCCCCAGCCCCAGGAGGCAGAAGCCAAGCCACCAGACUCUCCAGAGGAGAAGCCCAUGCACCCUGUUCUGCCCUGCCCCUCCAAGCUCGAGCAGGCCGGGCCAGGCCUCUUGGUCCUUCUCUCCCUCCAUCCCGCCUCCUUGGAGAGAAAACAAGCAGCCCAUGCGUCAAGACGGAGCCUUCCUCGCUAAUAAACCCAUCCUAUGUCUGUGACAUGUUUCAAAAGGAGCAGAAAAUUACCUUCCAGGAAGCCAACGAGAGGGACAAGACCACCAGCUCUACCAAACCACUGCGAGGCUGACAGAGUGGGGAAGCCUGAGGCAGUAGACGCCCGGAAGGCCUUGGUGCCACCUCGGGGGAUCUCCUUGGGGGGCCAAAGGACAGGGCAGCACCCAAUGUCCUGCCUCCCCUCGCCUGCUUGAUGGCCAGGCCCCAGGACAGGGUCCCCAGGGCCGCUGUGCUGACACAGAAGCAUCGGAGGGUCUGGCACUAGACCCUGUCCCUGAAGCUGUGGGCUUCUCUCUCCUGGCCCCCCGACUUUCCCCUCAACAUUUUGUGGCAUAUGGCAAAGGAGGAAACGUCAGAAGGAGCAUCCAUGGAUUCACUACCUAGAGUCAACUGUUUCCUCUCACUCUUUUUUUUAUUGUGUUAAAAUACAUAUAACAUAAAAUUUAUUCAUUUUAACCAUUUUAAAGCCUACACUUUGGUGGCAUGAAAUACAUCCAUGACAUGGCACAACCUCCACCUCUGUGGAGUUCCAACCCAUUCUUUUCACCCCAAGAGGAAAGCCGUGAAGCAGUUACUCCCAUUUCCUCUUCCCUUCAGCCCCCCAAAACCACCAUCCUCCUGUCUCUACAAAUGUACCUGUUCUGGACAUUUCACAUGAAUGGAAGUGGCCCUUUGUAACUGGCUUCUUUCACUUAACGUCAUGUUUGUGUAUUGUAGCCUGUGUCACCACCUCACUCUUUUUCUUGGCUGAGUAAUAUAUCAUUUUGUGAAUAGACAAUGUUUUAUUUAUCUAUUCAUCA